rnacentral:rRNA from 1 species
AUACGAAGGUCCCAAGCGUUAUUCGGAAUCACUGGGCGUAAAGAGUACGUAGGCGGUUUGGUAUGUCAGGUGUGAAAUCCCGAAGCUCAACUUCGGAACUGCAUCCGAUACUGCCAGACUUGAGUAAUGGAGAGGCAGGUGGAAUUCUCGGUGUAGCAGUGAAAUGCGUGGAUAUCGAGGAAGACCAAUGGCGAAGGCAGCCUGCUGGACAUUUACUGACGCUGAGGUACGAAGGCUAGGGGAGCGAAAGGGAUUAGAAACCCCAGUAGUCC